rnacentral:lncRNA from 10 species
GCUUUUUGCAGAGAGGGGAUGAGUGGAUGGUUCCCCUACCCAAAGGCAGGAAAGUCCCCACAAUGUGGCUGAGUCUGGGGCUUUUAUGGGCUCAGAAUAGGGGAAGUGUGGGCAAACAGGAACAGAAGUUCUCACUCUGGGUCACAGGUUUCAUGUGGGACCAGCAGUCCAGUCUUUCAGCCUUCAGGCUGUUUUUUUGGCUUGAAGGUGGGGUUUCACCAGGGACCCACCCCGUCUGCCUAGGCAUUUGGCUGCCUCCUGUCACCAUCAACAGGGCUCAGAGCUGAUGCCUCCUGACCCAUGUCCAGGAGUCUCCCUUUGCCAGAAGAAUCAGAGAUAAAAAGCAUCUGCUGAAGAAAGUAGCUUUUAAUGCUGCAAAGCCCUCACAAGAUCUGAUUUCUACUGGGAAUGGGAUAUGGUAGGAAGAGCACAGCCUUUGGCACCAGAGAGGCAUGGCUUAGAAUCCUGGCUCUGCCACUGGUUUACUGGCUGUGUGACCUUGGGCCAGUUACUUAACCUCUCUGUGUCUCAGUGUCCUCAUCUAGGAAAUGGUGGAAACGCCUAACUUCCAGGGCAGCGCAUGUAAGAUGCUUGGUGCAUAGUAGGCCCUCCUUUAAUCCUAGUCCCUCCCGGCCUGCCCCUGCCACCACCCCCAGUUUGUUUGCCUCUGGGACCAGCAGUUUUGGAGACUCCGCUCCCUCCUCAGGCUGUCUUCGUGGCAGCUUCCCAGCUCCUGCCUAAUAAUAGCUCUUUAUCACAUUAGGAGUACAUCACAAAAAACAGUGCUUUCCUCUUCUGGGUAAUUAGAGGUAAUUAGCACUGCCUUUGUGCUGGCCUCCUGUUUUCCUUGAAAAUGCUUUGCUGGAGAAGUUGCUGGCAAGGGAGGUUUCAUUACUGCUGUUGGGGAAAUGCUGGCCACCCUCUGCUCCCAACAGAGACCCACAGGACCUGUCUUCUCCCUGCUGGGCCAACCACGCAGCAGGGCCCUUUGUGAUCAUCCCACUGGGCUGGCCCUGUUGCAGGCAGGGCGCAUCUCUGGGGUGAAUGAAGCUGCCCUCCUGCCCCUCAGUCUCUCCUCACAGGGACAAGGUUACAGUGGGUGGGGGAUUUGCCACCCCAGGGACCAACUCAUGAGGCUUCUGGGGCACAGAGAUCCAACCCACGGCAAGAUUCUCCAUGUCCCAGCAGAAAUGCCAGGUGGCCUAGAACUUAGCAAAAGGCUUGGCACAAAGUAGAUACUUGAUAAUAACCGCAGUAGCCAACAACUCACAUGUUUUACGGGGUAAGUCAUUUGAUCCUCAUAGAGGUCCUGCAUAGUGGUAGUAACCCGUUGUACAGGUGUGAAAACUGAGGCUGCAGGCGGUGCCACGGCAUGUGAGUGGUAGAGCCGGAUGAACCUGGGCUGUUAACCACUGCUUCAGUACUGCCUGCAUUCACACAUCUCUGUAGCUUCUGGUAGUGGCCUCUAACCCUGUGCCAAUAAGCCUGUUACAUGUAUUAUCAAAGCCACACAGCCAGCCCACGUGGUAUAGGUCUCUUUAUUAGCCUCAUUUUAUACAUGAGGAAAUUGAGGUCCAAGAAGUGAAAGAACCCAAAGGGGCCUGAUGGGCUUGGAAGGAGUCACUGGGGCAGAUGGAGGUGGGUGAUGGCAGCCUCUGUUUGGGUAAGUUGGGGUGUCUUUUGAGGCAGGAAACAGGAAGGGCUGGGCCCCAUUUGUACCUGCAGGGAUCUGGUUCCCACGGAAACCCCACGAUGUGCGGGGCUGGCUGUGGGGCACAGAGGUGAGUGAGAAGUGGUCUCUGCUCCCCUGCGCUCAGUUUAUCAGGGAACGCAACCUCAUGAGCAUGUGACGAUGACAGGUUAUGAGUGCCAUCACAGGGUGUCCACAGAGGCCCCUGCCAACACGGGAAGCCACGGAAGGCUUCUGCACGCCAGUCACAUCCGGCGUGUAUCCAGGCAGCUGGCAGAUUCAAUCAAGACAGCCUGGGAGAUGGUCAGGGGCUGAAUCUUCACGCAGUAUCGGCUACACCAGAACUUUCUGGUGCUGAGAAGAGGCUCUUUCCCGACCUGCCUCACCCCUCUUCUCUCAUCUCUCCAGCUAACUGUAAAACCAGAGCUCUGCCCAGCAACUGCUCCCCUGGGUCUUUGCAGAGGGGUGGCUCAGGGACUAGGGUUGCCUGAGACCCAGACCAACUUGUAGUCGAGGAGGGCCAGAGCUGUGUGUUCUAGGACAGCUCUCAGUGGAAUUUCCAUCUGGUAUCAGCUGCAGCCAGUGGGUACCAACACCUCCCUUCCUUCCUGGCCAUCUCGUCUGAAUUCCAGCCAGCAGGAAAGAGGACAUGAGGGAAGAAGAGCACUCCUCCUCUUAAAGAGAAUUCCAAGGAACACCACAUCACACUACCGCUUCAACUCAUGGGCCAAAACUAGUCACAGUGCUAUUCCUAGCUGCAAGGAAGCCUGGGGAGUGUGCCCAGCUAUAAAUGUGAGUCCUUGUGACUAAAGAAUAAACGGCAGAGUGAGUUGUAGCCAGCACCUUGCAGUCUAUGCUGUAGCUUUCUUUCCAAUUUGAGGACUUUUCCAGGGAAAAUCCUCACAGCCAACCUCUGGUGAAACUACCCUUGUGUUCCCCUUUUUACAGCGGAGGAAGUUGAGAGCCAGAGGGGUAGAGGGGUAGAGGGGCUUGACCAAGGUGUCACAACUAGUGAACAGCAGAGCCCUUCUGGAGUAGCCUAGAGCUGCAGGCAUCAGCUGGGCACAGUGCCUCAGGCCUGUAAUCCCAGCACUUUGGGAGGCUGAGACAGCAGGAUUUCUUGAGGCCAAGAGUUCAAGACCUGGGCAACAUAGGAGACCCCAUCUCUACAACAUUUAAAAAUUAGCCAGUCAUGGUAGCAUGCACGUGUAAUCCCAGCUACUCAGGAGGCUGAGGUGGGAGAAUCACUAGAGCCCAAGAGGUCAAGGCUGCAGUGAGCUAUGGUUGUACCACUGCACUCCAGCCUGGACGAGAGAGAGAGAACCCAUCUCUCUCUCUCUCUGUUUUCAUUUUUCUUUUUUCUCAUGCUAUUUUAACAAAAAGCCCAUCCC